UGCCGUAUAAAUAGCGUAUACAUUGCGCCUCCAGCUAGUGUCGCCCUGGUGUGGCGGGGGCCUUCUGCUCUUCUGCCAGCCAACCCCAUGCCUGGCUGUCUUGCUCCUCUCUCAGCACCGCCAAGGAAGGGGGCACUUUCUAAGGAGGGGACCUCCUUAUGCUUUUGUCGUUUACAACUCCACCAGACCGCCUCACAACUUCUCUUCCACAGAUCUCUUCCUUCAAGAUGACCCCGUCCUCAACAGAGAGGAAAGAGGCCGGGCAGCCCGCCUCGGAUGCCCGCUUUCUCCCUGACUGCACUCUAGCCUCACCAGAGAGCUUUCAAUAAAUUCUGGAGUCUGGGUCCCAUCCCAGGCCAAGGAAAUCAGAAUCUCAGGGGAUGGGACCCCGGUGACGGGAUUAAGAAUUUUCUCAGGUGAUUCCCAUAAGCAGCCAAAUGUUGAGAACCACUCACUAGCCCAGAGGUGUCUUCCCACUGGGGGUACCCAAGGAAAACUCCACCCCCACCCACUCUGGUCCCUCCCCUUCCUGAAUUUCUCCCCUACCCACCCUACCUGCCUCGGUCUGUGGAGCCAGUGGGGACAGGUGGUUCCAGCUGUGUUUCAACAUCAACCAGGGAGACAUCUCUUCCCCGGGUGUGUCUGGGGGCAGGUUCUCUCUCUCGAUAUUUCCCUUGUUUCCAGCUGCUUUCAGCCUCUUUAAGUUGUCACUUUCUCACCAUUUCUAAUUUACGAAGCUACACAUUCUGCAACUCGAAAAGCCCCAUGUUUGUCUCAUGCACCACUGCGCCUUUCACUUCCAGCACGUUGCUUAAUAUAUAGUAGGUGCACAAUAAACGUUUGUUGACUGACUGAA